AUGGAGAUCUCUCAAAAGAACAAAGCUAACCGUGCUCAAGUUAAGUUCCAUCAAACAACUGGUUCGCGCAGCUAUGCUGUGCAUUGUGAUAAUUUGGGAGAAAAAUACAAAGAUGAAGAACCCAAUGCAUUGGAUUUGUUCAAGGAGUGCCACUACAGCAACAAGAAGAAAGGGUACAUAGACACCGUAGAAUCUGCAAUUACUCAAAUCGAAGAGAAGGUCUCUCAACCUACCAAAGAGGGACAACAACCUCUCUCUGCGACUAAGGUUGUAUCUGACGUGCUCACUCAGCACACCAAGAAGCCUAAGUUUCUUCAGCAUGUGGGGAUCCAGCAUGUGCAUGAGAGAACCAGUGGUACCAACCUUGAAGCAUAA
rnacentral:rRNA from 1 species